CCUACGGGAGGCAGCAGUGGGGAAUAUUGCACAAUGGGGGAAACCCUGAUGCAGCGACGCCGCGUGAGUGAAGAAGUACUUCGUUACGUAAAGCUCUAUCAGCAGGGAAGAAAAUGACGGUACCUGAGUAAGAAGCCCCGGCUAACUACGUGCCAGCAGCCGCGGUAAUACGUAGGGGGCAAGCGUUAUCCGGAUUUACUGGGUGUAAAGGGAGCGUAGACGGUGGGCCAAGUCUGGAGUGAAAUGCCGCGGGUUAACUGCGGAACUGCUUGUGAAAAUGGCGAACUAGAGUGUGGGAGGGGUAAGCGGAAUUACUAGGGUAGAGGGGGAAAGCG
rnacentral:rRNA from 1 species